AACGUUACCUUUCUGCGGUGGUGGUCUCACUGAGAUGGUUGAUUCCACUUUACCUGAGAAUCCAUCUGUUUCAAAAGUUUUUCACAAGUCUUUCAUUGAGAUAAAUGAGGAAGGCACCGAAGCUGCAGCUGUUACAGCUGGUGUAAUAAUGACCACGUCUCUUAGAAUUGAGAAAGAAAUCGACUUUGUUGCUGACCAUCCAUUCCUGUUCCUUAUAAGAGACGACGCUACUGGUGUUGUGUUGUUCAUAGGGAGCGUGCUGAAUCCUCUUUCUGGUUAAUAAGACCAUAUAGCAUGAUUAUAUACAACUUUGUAAAGAAGGACAGUUCACAGUUUCCUCUCUUGUGUUUCUGUUUGAUGAGAGAUGCUAUGUAUCUAAAUAACCAGUUUCCAGAU
rnacentral:misc_RNA from 1 species